rnacentral:misc_RNA from 1 species
GCCUGUUUUGUCUUCUCUACAAUCAAGGACAUUGUUAUGGUUAUACCCUAAACCCUGAACUUCACUGAUUGACCUUCCGACUUUCUUCUCUGAAGUGAAGUCAAAAACUGUGCCUUUAACCGGCAAGAAUUCACCAGUUGGAAUUGAGUUCUGAUCCACAGGCGUUAUUUGGGAUCCCUAUAUCUGAACCAAAUGCUCCAGCACAUUCCCAGAGUUGAC